rnacentral:lncRNA from 1 species
UUCAUCCGAUCCAGCCCAUGCUUAAACUAAACAACGAUGUUUGGUAGCUUUUAAUCCCAGUCAUUGAUCAUUUUGAUUUAACGGCUCCCAACUUAUUACUCAAUUACAACAAAAAUGUCCUAAGACCCCUCUAACUCUAGAGACUCCCAAAAAUUCUUGUCCUUCGCCUCUCUCUCAUCUUCAGUGUCUGCCGCUAUCAGAAAUCGCCUACGGUGGCGGCCCACCACCAAACCACCCAAAAAUUACACCACGUAAUCCCUCCCUCGUCAUUUUUUCCAGAAAACCACCCAAUCCUCGCCAAUUUCAGAUCUUAGAACCCGUAGAAACCCUAGUUCAUUCCGUAUUUGAUUUUUUUCUUUCUUUUUAAAUUCGGAUCUAUCUUGUGCUACAACUUACAUCAAUUGAUUGCUUUGGUUGAAAGCUAUUGAUAUUUGUUUCGUGGCAUUUAGGAGUCCCCAAGUUGUUGGCGAAAUCCUCACUGAUGUGCCGAGUUUCCUUCCCCCUCCUUAUAUUCGAUUCUCUAGCAAAACUACAGUCAUUAUCGUUACAUGCAAUCACUAUUUCUGCCUUUCAAGUUUGAAUCAGUGCUCGUGUGAUGAUAUCGACCAUUGACGGAUUGUUGAAGCCAGGAGUGGUGUCGUCAAUAGGUAAUACAUCUUUUCAUUUUUGUAUGGUCGUUUUGCUUAGUUGCACGAUUUACUGUUAGAUUUUUUAUCAGUUUGUUGUUUACAUAUUGUGCUUUAGUUUUAGGUUAAUUAGAACAUGUUUUAGAUUAGUUUUAAUUAUACUUAGUUGAAUUUGCUAAAUUCUCAUUUGAAUUUAUUGCUAGUGAUGCAUCGACAAUUGACUGAUAGUGUGUUCCUUCAUAUGAUAAGUUUGUAGAAUAAUUGACUUUGAUUAGUUAAGUACAGGUUCAAAUAAGGUUAAUUGUUAGGAUUAUGAUUCCAACUAAAUAUAACAACCUUCAUAUUGAAUAAUCCGGAAUUA